CACGUAGGGUGCGAGCGUUGUCCGGAAUUAUUGGGCGUAAAGAGCUCGUAGGCGGUGUGUCGCGUCGGCCGUGAAAACUUGCAGCUUAACUGUGGGCGUGCGGUCGAUACGGGCAUCACUGGAGUUCGGCAGGGGAGACUGGAAUUCCUGGUGUAGCGGUGAAAUGCGCAGAUAUCAGGAGGAACACCGGUGGCGAAGGCGGGUCUCUGGGCCGUAACUGACGCUGAGGAGCGAAAGCGUGGGGAGCGAACAGG
rnacentral:rRNA from 1 species